ensembl:snRNA U2 U2 spliceosomal RNA
AUUGCUUCUCGGCCUUUUGGCUAAGAUCAAGUGUAAAAUCAUGUUUUGUUUCUUCAUGAUCUCCUUUUUUUGAGACAGGGUCUUGCUAUGCAGUUCAGGCUGACCUUGAACUUACUAUGUACCCGAGGUUGGCCUUGAACUUGCACCGAUCCUCCUUCCUCAGCCUCCCAAG